GCAACGUGGGCAUCCUGUGAGGUUGCUCUCACAUGGCUCUGUCAGUGUGGCAUAUGGGAGCGCAGCACUUUGGUGCCAUGACGUACAGUCCCGUUCCACGACGUUGGACAGCAAACUAGUCCCCAGCCCUUGGGUUGGUGUGGACAGUGUCCUGUAUAUUCCUACACCUUCCCAGAGCUUAUGCCAUUACUGGGGAGGUAAACCAUGCAGCUCACACCA
ensembl:snoRNA SNORA73 Small nucleolar RNA SNORA73 family